CACGUAGGAUCCAAGCGGUGUUCGGAAUUACUGGGCGUAAAGCGCACGUAGGCGGAUUAGUCAGUCAGGGGUGAAAUCCCGGGGCUCAACCCCGGAACUGCCUUUGAUACUGCUAGUCUUGAGUUCGAGAGAGGUGAGUGGAAUUCCGAGUGUAGAGGUGAAAUUCGUAGAUAUUCGGAGGAACACCAGUGGCGAAGGCGGCUCACUGGCUCGAUACUGACGCUGAGGUGCGAAAGUGUGGGGAGCAAACAGG
rnacentral:misc_RNA from 1 species